GCAAGACAACCCUAAAGAAAACACCUAAAGCCCCUACCCAACAAUCAAUAGGCAACGUCCAGGAAGAUUGUGACCCCAUAGCACUCAGCCUCUAAGGAACUGGGGGAGGGACUUGCGCACUAGGGGAUAAACUGCUUGUUAAAACUGUACUGGGUGUGCCUGUCCAUCAAACACGGAUCUUGCAAGACUGUCAUUAAAAGUCUCACUUUCGCUGUUCUCCGGGUCUCUAAGUCCAUUCUUUGGGUUUGAAUGGGUAAGUUUGUUUCUCAUACUUUUUUAAUAAGCAGAGGCAGUACACUCUAAAAUAAUGAUUAAAAGUAUAGUAUAGUAAAUACAUAAACAAAAUAGUCAUUUAUUAUAAUUAUCAAGUAUUAUGUACUGUACCUAAUUGUAUCUGUUAGACUUUUAUACCAUUGGCAAUGCAAUAGGUUUGUUUAUACCAGCCUCACUACAAACACCUGAGUAAUGCAUUGUGCUAUGUUAUUAGGACAGCUAGAACAUCACUAGGCGACAGGAAUGUUUCAGUUCUAUUAUAAUCUUUUAUAGUCUAUUAUAAUGGACCAUAUAUAUGGCCACUGUCAUAUAUGUUAUCAUUAACUGAAAAGUUGUUAUGCAGUGCAUGACUAUAUUCUGUCGUUGCAGCUUAUUGUCUAAAACUAUGUCCUUUCUCAGUCCAAUACAAGUAUUCCCAGCAGUGGUGUCUCAACUAUCAUCUAGACUGCAAACGUCCUGAGAGGAGCCUCAUGUCUUCUUACAACAUCACAUGAAAGGAGCAGGCUAACUUGUUAGCUUCCAGAUAGCUAGUCUCCCACAUGCUGUCUUUCUGAUCAUGGAAAUCAACUUUCUUAAGAAGGCUAACCUCUUGGUUCAAGUGUGGCUGGUGGACUCCACCCCUGGCUGGGUUUUGGCAUCUGACGUUGGUAUAAAAGGUCUCAGCAUUGUAAGUAUAGGAAGGGUGGGGGCUUCCCAAUGACCUCACCCUUUCAUACAUGAAUAGGUCACUCCCAGAUAACAACCACUCUGAAACAUGCCAGCCGGAAGGGAAGGGUCAAUUUUAGAAAGUCAACAACCCCACUACCCAUUCAUUCAAUCAUGGGCCUCAAUGCCCUGAGAAAAUCAUUUUGCUAAACCAUGGUUUCACCUACUGUAACAUUAUGCAAAACACACUGUCAUCUCCCCAAGAGAUGUCAGGAAAGACAGACAAGUAGCCCUAAUUACAAUCAUAUUCGCAACAACAAAAAUGAGUAUAGAUAUGUGUCACAAGGGAUUUUUUUCUUCUCCCUUGACACUACUAUGUAUUAAAGAGACAACAGCUAACCUGAUAUUGCCCUUACUUCUCCUUGCUGGAAUUUUAUUGACAACUUAGUUUCCUUUCUGUGUUUCUUUAUUAACUAAAUCAGCACAAAACAUAGGCAACAGUAAACAUAAACUAUUUUUAUACAUGCAAAUUAGUGAUAAUACCUAUCCAGAGAGUCACUUUUCUAAUAUGGAGUGAUCCAAAGAAGGAUAAAGGUAGUCUAAAUGUCAGGGUCUUCAUUUGUUCUCCUAUCCUGCAAAUGGCCCUCAUGUAAGUUUCCUACAUUACACUUCCAAACAAAUUCAACUCUUUCAACAAGCCUGGCAUAUAGAGGGACUCAAAAAGUAUUACCUGAAUUAAAGUGAAAUGUAUUUGUUAAAUUUUAAGGAAAUAAAAUAUACCACUGUCAUAAUAU
rnacentral:lncRNA from 1 species